rfam:Candidatus Bathyarchaeota archaeon B24 scaffold59, whole genome shotgun sequence.
GUAAGCCGGUGGGUGGGUUUCCGGGCACCUGGGUUUAAUCCAGGUGUCUGGAGGAAACUCCUCCACGCAGGUGGAGCCGCACCACGGCGACGUGGGGGGCGAGAGCCUCGGCUCCGGCGCAGAAAAGACACCUCCCCCCGGCGGGUGUGGAUGAUAUGCGGUUCAACCGCUGACGAUGCCGGGGUGUGAGGGUGAAACUGCCGACCUGCGGGCGUCAAGGCGAAUGGGGCCUAUGAGCCUCCACCCGAGGCUCCGGUAUGCCGCGUCAGUCGGAUCCCACCUAAAACAGAAGGAGGGUUACGGCCGGCAUAC